rnacentral:rRNA from 1 species
UACGAAGGGGGCUAGCGUUGCUCGGAAUCACUGGGCGUAAAGCGCACGUAGGCGGAUUGUUAAGUCAGGGGUGAAAUCCUGGAGCUCAACUCCAGAACUGCCUUUGAUACUGGCGAUCUCGAGUCCGGGAGAGGUGAGUGGAACUGCGAGUGUAGAGGUGAAAAUUCGUAGAUAUUCGCAAGAACACCAGUGGCGAAGGCGGCUCACUGGCCCGGUACUGACGCUGAGGUGCGAAAGCGUGGGGAGCAAACGGGG